rnacentral:rRNA from 1 species
GGUUAACCGCAUAGGGGAGCCGGAGGGAAACCGAGUCUUAAUUGGGCGUUAAGUUGCAGGGUAUAGACCCGAAACCCGGUGAUCUAGCCAUGGGCAGGUUGAAGGUUGGGUAACACUAACUGGAGGACCGAACCGACUAAUGUUGAAAAAUUAGCGGAUGACCUGUGGCUGGGGGUGAAAGGCCAAUCAAACCGGGAGAUAGCUGGUUCUCCCCGAAAGCUAUUUAGGUAGCGCCUCGUGAAUUCAUCUCCGGGGGUAGAGCACUGUUUCGGCUAGGGGGCCAUCCCGGCUUACCAACCCGAUGCAAACUGCGAAUACCGGAGAAUGUUAUCACGGGAGACACACGGCGGGUGCUAACGUCCGUCGUGAAGAGGGAAACAACCCAGACCGCCAGCUAAGGUCCCAAAGUCAUGGUUAAGUGGGAAACGAUGUGGGAAGGCCCAGACAGCCAGGAUGUUGGCUUAGAAGCAGCCAUCAUUUAAAGAAAGCGUAAUAGCUCACUGGUCGAGUCGGCCUGCGCGGAAGAUGUAACGGGGCUAAACCA